rnacentral:rRNA from 1 species
AUCCGCGUAAAAUCUUACCACCCCUCGUAUAUUUAUUGAUCUUAAAAGAUCUAAAUACAGGUAUUGCAUGGUUGUCGUAGGUCAGUGCUAGUAAGGCGAGAAGUUAGUUCUGUUAAACUCGACGUAAUCCUUGCUGUAAAUUUAAACUUUACAGUCCUAUUUCGAUAAGAAAUUAAAAAAAACUUAUUUUUAGAAGGAGUAUGACAAACCCUCAUGGUCCUUAUGGGGUGGGCUAUAGACGUGCUACAAUAGAUUUAUCAAAGU